UCUGGUAAUGAUGGCAGAGAGGUCACACCCGUUCCCAUACCGAACACGGAAGUUAAGCUCUCUAGCGCCGAUGGUAGUUGGGACCUUGUCCUUGUGAGAGUAGGACGUUGCCAGGC
rnacentral:rRNA from 2 species